UUUUACUUUGUUCAUCUUGAUCUUUGUGAAAGAAAGCUUAAGCACCUGAUACACCAAGUCCCUAAUCCUGACCAGCUGUUGCACCAACUUCAUCAAUCAAAAGAAAUGCCAAACAGGAGGAACUCCAUCAAGUUUAGGCUGCAGAUUAGAGCAAAAUAUUAUGCAGAAAUCUACAUUCAAUUUGUACAUAAAAAGUUGAUCGUUGGUGCUUGGCUUUAAUGGAUCUCUACUUCCAACUUCACAAACAGUUAAACCACAGUCAUCUGCUUCCCUUUUUCCUACACACCAGCCAAAUCUG
rnacentral:lncRNA from 1 species